rnacentral:rRNA from 1 species
UACGAAGGGUGCUAGCGUUGCUCGGAAUUACUGGGCGUAAAGCGCGCGUAGGCGGCGACUCAAGUCAGGGGUGAAAUCCUGGGGCUUAACCCCAGAAUUGCCUUUGAAACUGUGUCGCUAGAGUGUCGGAGGGGAUAGCGGAAUUGCUAAUGUAGAGGUGAAAUUCGUAGAUAUUAGCAGGAACACCGGUGGCGAAGGCGGCUAUCUGGACGACAACUGACGCUGAGGCGCGAAAGCGCGGGGAUCAAACAGG